AUCCAGGGAUGGGAAUCGAACCCACAGUGUUACGCUUACCGGGCAGAUGCCAUGUCCACUAGGCUACCCUGGA